GAUGAACGCUGGCGGCGUGCCUAACACAUGCAAGUCGAGCGAACCCUUCGGGGUGAGCGGCGGACGGGUGAGUAACGCGUGGGUAACCUGCCCUAUACACACGGAUAACGUACCGAAAGGUACGCUAAUACGGGAUAAAGUUGUUGGAUGGCAUCUUCUAACAAUCAAAGCUCCGGCGGUAUAGGAUGGACCCGCGUCUGAUUAGCUAGUUGGUGAGGUAAUGGCUCACCAAGGCGACGAUCAGUAGCCGACCUGAGAGGGUGAUCGGACACACUGGAACUGAGCCACUGUCCAGACUCCUACGGGAGGCAGCAGUGGUGAAUAUUGCACAAUGGGCGAAAGCCUGAUGCAGCAACGCCGCGUGAGCGAUGAAGGUCUUCGGAUCGUAAAGCUCUGACCUCAAGGAAGAUAAUGACGGUACUUGAGGAGGAAGCCCCGGCUAACUACGUGCCAGCAGCCGCCGUAA
rnacentral:rRNA from 1 species